rnacentral:rRNA from 1 species
AUGGGUAGAUCCAAUGCUAAUCAUGUUUGGAGCAAGAUCUGGAAGCUAUCUUGUCCGGCAAAGGUAAAAAUCUUCAUCUGGCGUACAUUGCAUGGAACACUCCCAUGUCGUGUUACGCUCGCCAAUAGACAUGUGAAGGUCCCUCCCAUCUGCCCAACAUGUUCAAAAGGGCUAGAAGACACGAAACACGUCUUGUUUCUGUGUCAGAAGGCGAAAAAGGUCUGGGAUAAUUUGGGUUUGUAUGAGGUGAUCAAUAGAGCAUGUGUUGUUGACCGGGCAGGAGAGGCAGUUCUUGAAUUUUUAUUACUUAUGCCAGAGGAAGAAAUAUCUGUUUUGGGACUCCAGAAUGCACGUAAAUUGAUCGUUAUAACAGCUUGGUAUUUAUUGUGGGAUAGACGUAAACUGGUUCAUGAAGGAAAGUCUCAAGAUGCAUAUCAAUCUGCUAUGGGGCGUGCUAUAGCGGCAAAUUAUGUUAAAGCAAACUCCCCUAAGGCGAUCAGUAAGAAAGGGGGAUGGCUUAGACCUCCUAUGGGUUUUGUGAAACUAAACGUUGAUGCUUCUUUUGACCAUGAUCUGCUUAGAGGCAUGGCGGGGGCAGUCCUGAGAGAUGACAAAGGAAGGUUCAUUGUUGGCGGAAGUUGGCGACUUGAUUGGUGUGCGGAUGUUCUAACGGCAGAAGCAUUGGCACUGAGGUUUGGCCUUACCCUAGCACAGAAGGCGGGGUGCAACCGCCUUAUUGUUAACUCUGAUAAUAUGGAAGUGAUUGACACGAUGAAGAAUGGAGGACAAUCGGCGGGAGCGGCGACGGCAGUGUUCGAUGAUUGCUAUUUCAUGGCUUGCGAUUUUACUAUUACUAGAUUUGAACAUUGUAAUAGGGAAGCAAAUAAAGUUGCUUAUGAAAUUGCUAGGGUAGCAAAAUAUUCAGCGACUAGGGAUUGGUUUGAGGAGCCCAUGGUUGAUAUUGUAACUCUUCUUAUUGAUGAUGUAACUGUUAUUUCUAAUCAAUAA